rnacentral:rRNA from 1 species
AGGCAAGGCGCAGCAUUAANCCAAUACACAGUNGCAAGGACAGAUCAUGUAGAGUAGAAGGGAACCCCCGAGUNGCCAGNAUACGCGGNCGGUCAGAGGNGGAUAAAAAGAAUCGGAAGNAAGGGCCGGGCAAGACCGGUGCCAGCCGCCGCGGUAAACCGGCGGCUCGAGUGGUGACUCACUUUUAUUGGGUUUAAAGCGUUCGUAGCUGGACUCGUGUACAGUCUCCUUCUCGGGAAAUUCCUCGGUCGAGCUCAAACCGUAGUGAGGCGUUUUCAGAGAGAUACUGGCGCAGGUACUAUGGAACCGGGAGAGGUAAGAGGUACUUCGAGGGGUAGAGAGUGAAAUUCUUGUAAUCCUCCGAGGGACCACCGUAUGGCGAAGGCAUCUUACCAGAACGGCUUCGACAGUGAGGAACGAAAGCUGGGGGAAGCGAACGGGAUUAGAUACCCCGGUAGUCCCAGCCGUAAACGAUGCGCGUUAGGUGUACACUGGNUGAGCCACGAGCUCAUGCUAGGGGUGCCCGUAAGGGAAACCGUGAAACGAUACCGCCCUGGGAAGUACCCGUCG